rnacentral:tRNA from 1 species
GCCCGUCUAGCUCAGUCGGUAGAGCGCAAGGCUCUUAACCUUGUGGUCGCGGGUUCGAGCCCCGCGGUGGGCA